UAGCGUCAUAGGCUACUGGAUAGCAACUAGAAAAUCAUAUCUCGGUCAGUGCCUGCCAUCUCGUUUCUACAACUCCGUUUGAGACACAUCGAGGAAGACCGAUGACUCACGGGACAUAAUCUCGGUCACCUGAUCUCGAGUGAUUUCUCCCUUUCAGACGAAGAUUUGAGGAUGAAGUCAACGUUCAUCGUGAUGUAGCUACGGCAGAACGUGAAUUCUGAUGGACAAAUACCUCGGACAUCCGGGAUCAUAUCUAGGUCAGUCGCUCUCAUCGCUCUUCUACAAUACGGAUUGAGACGAUAGUUAUGUUUAUUGAAAGGUUAGCAUUUCGGGUUUUUGCCAUUGAAUAGCCAGUUUUGUCUCUUCUAUGUUUACUGUCUCAGGUCAGUGAAAAAGGUGUCGUCGUACGAGACAUAAUCUCGGACACUUUAUUUUGAGAACAGACGCAUGAAUAAGAAUCUCUGAUUAGCAGGUGUGGUGCAAUUUGUAGUGCACUGUUCUUCUAGAGCUUUAUUGUCGAGAAUGUGUUUGUCAAACUACACUUUGGCAAGCGUUGCACAUAUAUGCUGCAACUGUACAUGUCAAUGUUACAAAUAGCUGACUCUGAAUUUCCACAUUUUGUGGCAAUUACGACAGU